rnacentral:rRNA from 1 species
GACGAACGCUGGCGGCGUGCCUAAUACAUGCAAGUUGAGCGCUGAAGGUUGGUACUUGUGCCAACUUGAUGAGCAGCGAACGGGUGAGUAACGCGUGUGGAAUCUGCCUUUGAGCGGGGUACAACAUGUGGAAACGAAUGCUAAUACCGCAUAAAAACUUUAAACACAAGUUUUAAGUUUGAAAGAUGCAAUUGCAUCACUCAAAGAUGAUCCCGCGUUGUAUUAGCUAGUUGGUGAGGUAAAGGAUCACCAAGGCGAUGAUACAUAGCCGCACUGAGAGGGCGAUCAGCCAGCCUGGGACUGAGACACGCCCCAAACGCACACGGGAGGAAGCAGUAGGGCAUCUUCGGCCAUGGACGAAAGUUUGAGCGAGCAAGGCGGAGUGCGUGAAGAGGAUCGCCGGAUCGUAAAACACGGUUGGUAGAGAAGAACGUUGGUGCGCGUGGAACGAUCCUCAAGUGACGGUAAUUACUCAGAAAGGGACGGCUAACUACGUG